GACGAACGCUGGCGGCGUGCUUAACACAUGCAAGUCGAACGGAAAGGCCCUGCUUGCAUGGUACUCGAGUGGCGAACGGGUGAGUAACACGUGGGUGAUCUGCCCUGCACUUCGGGAUAAGCCUGGGAAACUGGGUCUAAUACCGGAUAGGAGCCAUUUUUCUUGUGAUGGUUGGAAAGUUUUUUCGGUGUAGGAUGAGCUCGCGGCCUAUCAGCUUGGUGGUGGGGUAAUGGCCUACCAAGGCGGCGACGGGUAGCCGGCCUGAGAGGGUGGACGGCCACAUUUGGACUGAGAUACGGCCCAGACUCCUACGGGAGGCAGCAGUGGGGAAUAUUGCACAAUGGGCGCGAGGCUGAUGCAGCGACGCCGCGUGGGGGAUGACGGCCUUCGGGUUGGAAACUCCUUUCGCUAGGGACGAAGCUUUUUGUGACGGUACCUAGAUAAGAAGCACCGGCUAACUACGUG
rnacentral:rRNA from 1 species